GCGGAAGGUCCUGGGGCGCGAGGUGGCCUUGGGCUCUGCGGGCCGCGGCGGCCAGCGCGGUCGGGCCGCGGCGCAGUGGAGGUUCCGAUGUGCGUUCCAGAGGUGGUUAGCCGCCUGCUGAAAGCCGACUUCCCUGAGGGAAUUGGGAGACUACUUUGAGUCAAAUGCAGCUUUCCUGCCACCCGAGGCUCAGCCGUAGUACUGCGCAUCCCAUUCCAACGGUGACUCCCUCUGCUGCACCCAGCCCAGCACGAUGGGGACGGCUCAGGUUCUGCCCGGCAUUCUGCAGAAGCAUUGCUGUGUGCUACCAGACAGGAACACAGAUCUGAUGCCCGUUUGCUGGACGUGCCCACAGGGCGGUCACCACGGCGGGCGGUAAGUGCGCUCUGACCUGCCCCUUCUGACCUCUUGACCACUGGCCAAGCUAGGAAUUUUCCCAGUGAUUUUCUUUUCUGUUUCUUUGCAGGUCAUCGUUGAUUAAGAUAAUUUUUUUUAAUGUGUCACUGCAUGAAUCUCCAUCUCCAUCUCUGGAAAUUGAGUAAAUUCAUAGAAGAAAAGUUGAUUACUGUUUAGAUACUUGUUUUGUCAUUUUGAAUGGGAAAUAUUGAAAACUAAAAUUAAACAUACAUAAAUGCUAUAUCAGACUCAUUUUUAUUCAAGUACAGUACAACAUUCAGUGUUAUAGUCAUUGCUAUUUAUUCUAUGGUUUAGGUAAAAUAUUUGGGAAAAUAACCCCUAAUGUAAUGACAUGCUUUUAUGUGAUAUUAAACAGAUUCCCAAC
rnacentral:lncRNA from 1 species